UGACGAAAGGGGGCUAGCGUUGCUCGGAAUCACUGGGCGUAAAGGGCUGCGGUUAAGGGCGGACUCUUAAGUCGGGGGGUGAAAGCCCAGGGCUCAACCCUGGAAUUGACCUUCCGGAUACCUGAGAGUCAUUGAGUUCGGGAAGAGGUUGGUGGAACUGCGAGUGUAGAGGUGAAAUUCGUAGAUAUUCGCAAAGAACACCCAGUGGCGAAGGCGGCCAACUGGUCCGAUACUGACGCUGAGG
rnacentral:rRNA from 1 species